AAUGAGAUGCCUGUGCCUUCU
rnacentral:piRNA from 1 species